GCUUAACGCGAAGAACCUUACCAAGGCUUAAAUGGGAAACGACGGAUCUGGAAACAGGUCUUCCUUCGGGCGUUUUUCAAGGUGCUGCAUGGUUGUCGUCAGCUCGUGCCGUGAGGUGUCAGGUUAAGUCCUAUAACGAGCGCAACCCCUGUUGUUAGUUGCCAGCGAGUCAUGUCGGGAACUCUAGCAAGACUGCCGGUGCAAACCGUGAGGAAGGUGGGGAUGACGUCAAAUCAUCACGGCCCUUACGCCUUGGGCUACACACGUGCUACAAUGGACGGUACAGAGAGCAGCCAGUGGGUGACCACGAGCGAAUCUACAAAACCGUUCUCAGUUCGGAUCGGAGUCUGCAACUCGACUCCGUGAAGCUGGGAUCGCUAGUAAUCGGAUAUCAGCCAUGAUCCGGUGAAUACGUUCCUGGGUCUUGUACACACCG
rnacentral:rRNA from 1 species